rnacentral:rRNA from 1 species
GACGAACGCUGGCGGCGUGCUUAACACAUGCAAGUCGAACGGAAAGGCCCUGCUUUUGUGGGGUGCUCGAGUGGCGAACGGGUGAGUAACACGUGAGUAACCUGCCCUUGACUUUGGGAUAACUUCAGGAAACUGGGGCUAAUACCGGAUAGGAGCUCCUGCUGCAUGGUGGGGGUUGGAAAGUUUCGGCGGUUGGGGAUGGACUCGCGGCUUAUCAGCUUGUUGGUGGGGUAGUGGCUUACCAAGGCUUUGACGGGUAGCCGGCCUGAGAGGGUGACCGGCCACAUUGGGAUGGGGAUACGGCCCAGACUCCUACGGGAGGCAGCAGUGGGGAAUAUUGCACAAUGGGCGGAAGCCUGAUGCAGCAACGCCGCGUGCGGGAUGACGGCCUUCGGGUUGUAAACCGCUUUCGCCUGUGACGAAGCGUGAGUGACGGUAAUGGGUAAAGAAGCACCGGCUAACUACGU